rnacentral:rRNA from 1 species
GUCUACGGCCAUGCUACCCUGAACAAGCCCAAUCCCAUCUGAUCUCGGAAGCUAAGCAGGGUCGAGCCUGGUUAGUACUUGGAUGGGAGACCACCUAGGAAGUCCAGGUAGGUGUAAAAA